AUUGAACGCUGGCGGCAGGCUUAACACAUGCAAGUCGAGCGGAGAUGAGGUGCUUGCACCUUAUCUUAGCGGCGGACGGGUGAGUAAUGCUUAGGAAUCUGCCUAUUAGUGGGGGACAACAUUCCGAAAGGAAUGCUAAUACCGCAUACGCCCUACGGGGGCAAGCAGGGGAUCUUCGGACCUUGCGCUACUAGAUGAGCCGCAGUCGGAUUAGCUAGUUGGUGGGGUAAAGGCCUACCAAGGCGACGAGCUGUAGCGGGUCUGAGAGGAUGAUCCGCCACACUGGGACUGAGACACGGCCCAGACUCCUACGGGAGGCAGCAGUGGGGAAUAUUGGACAAUGGGCGGAAGCCCGAUCCAGCCAUGCCGUGUGUGUGAAGAAGGCCUUUUGGUUGUAAGGCACUUUAAGCGAGGAGGAGGCUACCUGGAUUAACACUCUAGGAUAGUGGACGUUACUCGCAGAAUAAGCACCGGCUAACUCUGUGCCAGCCGCCGCCGUAA
rnacentral:rRNA from 1 species